AAAUGUGAUGUCCGUAUGGUAGGGAUACUUGGAACUGGUGGUAUAGGCGGUACGUAUAGCUAAAGACAUCAUCAAGAAGUGGUCUAAACCACAUGAGAUACCAUUCAGUACUACCGAGUUGGCUGAAUUCUGGUCUAAAAUCAGUAUGCAUGGAAGUCUUAUGUCAAGACGAGUGGAGGGAUUCAAGUUAAUCUGGUGCGCCCUUAAAAAGCUGUUGUGUCCACCUUGUAAUCCCACCCAACGAUGACGUUUGUAUGAAGCUAAUCCAUGCAGAAAACCUGAACAGUGAACUUUCUGAUGACUUU